rnacentral:tmRNA from 1 species
GGGGCUGCUCUGGUUUCGACAGGGAUGCUAAGGUUUAAGUGGCAAGUGGAAGGCACUCCUUACGUGCAAACAAAAAAUAACUGGAAACAGAAAUCAAUUAGCUUUCGCUUAAUAAUUUAGAAGGCUGCUUCUUUUAAUUUCUCUCCCAUGGAGAUUCUAAGAGGCUCGACUUAGUGGGAUAUAUCAUUAAGAUGUCUAUAAUUAAUGAUGAAUACUCAUAGACUUACUAGAGAAGAGAUUGUUAGUUAUCAAUUUUUUCUAGGAAUUUUAUUAACUAACUAAACUUGUAGAAGCUUAAAAUGAGGUGUUUUUGGACAGGGGUUCAAUUCCCCUCAGCUCCACCA